rnacentral:rRNA from 1 species
UACGGAGGAUCCAAGCGUUAUCCGGAUUUAUUGGGCUUAAAGGGUGCGUAGGCGGCUUAUUAAGUCAGGGGUGAAAGCCGGUGGCUCAACCAUCGCAGUGCCCUUGAUACUGAUGAGCUUGAAUACAUUAGAGGUAGGCGGAAUGUGACAAGUAGCGGUGAAAUGCAUAGAUAUGUCACAGAACACCGAUUGCGAAGGCAGCUUACUAUGAUGAGAUUGACGCUGAGGCACGAAAGCGUGGGGAUCAAACAGG